UUUAAUGUUCAAACUUUGUCAGUGUAUUCUAUGGCACGAACUGUCGACGGUUACAAGCAGACUAUGAAAACGAGUCGCGGAGACUCGAACAAUCGUAUCUCCUCCUCCCAAAGCUGUCCAUUCUUGUUUACCAGCCGACGGACAAUUUGAGAGAACUAAACCGCGGAUCUCGUCGACGAGAGAGCUUUUCGCGGAGAGAUGAAGAAGAAGGCCGAGGUGAAAUUCGGUGGUCGACGAAAGGGCGGCGGCGGCGGCGGCGGAGAAAGCGCCGGAGAACAAAGGUCCAAGGGAACACACCUUGGGAACACCUGGGAACGGGAACUCGACACCGGCUGGAAAGGAAAGCACGGCAAUUAAGCUCGGCGACGACGAAGACGCGCGGCGGUGUGCCGCGCCACCGUUGCCGGCGACGAAGGUCUCGUUCGAUCGGUGGCCAGGCACACGACCGCGAGAGUUCCUCUCCGGCGAGCAAACGAGAGGACGGCGUAUCCUCUUACGCGGGUAUUCCAGACGGGAUCCCGGUCGAAUGGGACAGGACAACACGAUGCAACGAGGCGACGCGACGUGGAAGCGGAGGCGCGCCGCGAGAAAAGAGUGUGCCGGCGCGGCGAUUCGCCGGGGAACACGACACGCGUGUCGAACACCGGCACCUACACCACAAUGCGCCCCGGUCUUUUCCUGCUCCACCGAUACGGAUGAAAGAGUAUACUUUAUCCUGUGAACCGGGCUGAACGAGUUCCCGCGUGUCGUUUUUAACAGUCCGAUAUGACGGAUUUAUUAAUAGGCGUGUGUAUCGGAUUUUGAAAUGUUAUUUCUAGACGGUGGAUAUUUUUACGCGCAUCGACUGCAUGAUGCAGCAGAUACAGAGACACACAGAGACACGUGUACGCGUACACGCUUUAUUUUUCUCAGUAAUAAUUUUAACGAGUCGACGACGGACAAGUUAACGGUGUUUGUAAAAUUCUUUUAAACGACUUCAAGACAGCUUUGCAUUUAAAUUACUCGGUUUUCUCGUGUAUGCAAAAGAAGGAAAACCGGCGGUGCAAUUAUAUUAUAGGUUGAAUUCUUUUUAAUCGGAUCAGUCCGGUUCGUUUAGAUUCCGCGGUGCGUGAGAGUUCAUUAUUCUUGUGUUACCCGGACAGAGCUGGCUUCGACAUAAAGUGACACGGUUAAAUGAUCAACGAUCGCGACCGGUUCGUUAUUAGAACCGAUCUUUAAUCGUUCGUAAUCGCCAACGAGUUAUAAUCGUGUAAUUGCAAUCGAUUAAAGCUUCGUUACAAUAACGAAGAGAGUCGCGAUCGUAGAUCGUUUAAUCGGAUUACGUUUUAGCCCGAUCGUUAUGAAUCAGUUACAACAAUCGACGAGUUAUAGUCGUUAAUAAUCUCUGGUUCGGAUAGGGGUGUGGCAAAUUCUACAUUUAUAGAAUAUUAUGGUACUCGUUCCCAAAAUUUUCUUACAAGACAAUAUCACGCAUUGAGUUGAGUAUUAAUGUUAAAGAGAAAAAGAAAUAACUAUUACAUUAUCGAGAAGUGUUACAUCGUAAA